rnacentral:rRNA from 1 species
AUUGAACGCUGGCGGCAUGCCUUACACAUGCAAGUCGAACGGCAGCACGGGUGCUUGCACCUGGUGGCGAGUGGCGAACGGGUGAGUAAUACAUCGGAACGUACCUUAUCGUGGGGGAUAACGCAGCGAAAGCUGUGCUAAUACCGCAUACGCCCUGAGGGGGAAAGCGGGGGAUCGAAAGACCUCGCGCGAUUAGAGCGGCCGAUGCCUGAUUAGCUUGUUGGUGGGGUAAAAGCCCACCAAGGCGACGAUCAGUAGCUGGUCUGAGAGGACGAUCAGCCACACUGGGACUGAGACACGGCCCAGACUCCUAAGGGAGGCAGCAGUGGGGAAUUUUGGGCAAGGGGGGCAAACCUGAUCCAGCAAUGCCGCGUGAGUGAAGAAGGCCUUCGGGUUGUAAAGCUCUUUUGUCAGGGAAGAAACACCGGCUCUAACACAGUCCGGGAAUGACGGUACCUGAAGAAUAAGCACCGGCUAACUACGUGCCAGCCUCCGCAGUAA